rnacentral:rRNA from 1 species
ACAUGCAAGUCGAGGGGCAGCAUGGCCUUAGCUUGCUAAGGCCGAUGGCGACCGGCGCACGGGUGAGUAACACGUAUCCAACCUGCCGUCUACUCUUGGACAGCCUUCUGAAAGGAAGAUUAAUACAAGAUGGCAUCAUGAGUCCGCAUGUUCACAUGAUUAAAGGUAUUCCGGUAGACGAUGGGGAUGCGUUCCAUUAGAUAGUAGGCGGGGUAACGGCCCACCUAGUCUUCGAUGGAUAGGGGUUCUGAGAGGAAGGUCCCCCACAUUGGAACUGAGACACGGUCCAAACUCCUACGGGAGGCAGCAGUGAGGAAUAUUGGUCAAUGGGCGAGAGCCUGAACCAGCCAAGUAGCGUGAAGGAUGACUGCCCUAUGGGUUGUAAACUUCUUUUAUAAAGGAAUAAAGUCGGGUAUGCAUACCCGUUUGCAUGUACUUUAUGAAUAAGGAUCGGCUAACUCCGUGCCAGCAGCCGCGGUAAUACGGAGGAUCCGAGCGUUAUCCGGAUUUAUUGGGUUUAAAGGGAGCGUAGAUGGAUGUUUAAGUCAGUUGUGAAAGUUUGCGGCUCAACCGUAAAAUUGCAGUUGAUACUGGAUAUCUUGAGUGCAGUUGAGGCAGGCGGAAUUCGUGGUGUAGCGGUGAAAUGCUUAGAUAUCACGAAGAACUCCGAUUGCGAAGGCAGCCUGCUAAGCUGCAACUGACAUUGAGGCUCGAAAGUGUGGGUAUCAAACAGGAUUAGAUACCCUGGUAGUCCACACGGUAAACGAUGAAUACUCGCUGUUUGCGAUAUACAGCAAGCGGCCAAGCGAAAGCGUUAAGUAUUCCACCUGGGGAGUACGCCGGCAACGGUGAAACUCAAAGGAAUUGACGGGGGCCCGCACAAGCGGAGGAACAUGUGGUUUAAUUCGAUGAUACGCGAGGAACCUUACCCGGGCUUAAAUUGCAGAUGAAUUACGGUGAAAGCCGUAAGCCGCAAGGCAUCUGUGAAGGUGCUGCAUGGUUGUCGUCAGCUCGUGCCGUGAGGUGUCGGCUUAAGUGCCAUAACGAGCGCAACCCUUGUUGUCAGUUACUAACAGGUUCCGCUGAGGACUCUGACAAGACUGCCAUCGUAAGAUGUGAGGAAGGUGGGGAUGACGUCAAAUCAGCACGGCCCUUACGUCCGGGGCUACACACGUGUUACAAUGGGGGGUACAGAGGGCCGCUACCACGCGAGUGGAUGCCAAUCCCCAAAACCUCUCUCAGUUCGGACUGGAGUCUGCAACCCGACUCCACGAAGCUGGAUUCGCUAGUAAUCGCGCAUCAGCCACGGCGCGGUGAAUACGUUCCCGGGCCUUGUACACACCGCCCGUCAAGCCAUGGGAGCCGGGGGUACCUGAAGUGCGUAACCGCGGGGAGCGCCCUAGGGUAAAACUGGUGAUUGGGGCUAAGU